CCCUUUGAAUGAAUGUUCAAUUUAACUGGAGUUCAUUUCCCAUAAAAGCCUUUCCCCUUGGCACAAAUGCACUGAAGUCCUUGAACACACCUCUUCGUGCGCUUGGGACCCGUACACGAAGCCUUACCGCCGCCGGUCUAUUGUCAAAUUGUUUCGAAACCACGUCGCCCAUCCUCUCCCCCGGCCGUUCCUUUAUUAUUCCCCACCCCUCUCUGUCCUGUCCUCCUUUCUCCCUCUCGCUUGCAACCUCAAAUCUUCGACCUGGUUCUUCUCUUUGAAGCGAAGGGCCUCUUCCUAAAAGUUCUCCAGAAAAAGAAACCUGCAGCUAUUCGGAACACCCUGCCGGAGUAACAAACUGCACCACCAGUAAAUAGCAGCAGCAGCAGCAGCAGCAGCAUGUGCAGGGACGGCGGUGGAGGCUGUAGCUCUGGUGCCGGGCCGCAGUGCUGAAAGAAACAGAUUCCGAAGUUAUGCAUCUUUACGACUACUACGGAGUAAUUUCUAGAGAACUGGAGAAUUUGUCCUAUGACAACCUGAUGGCAAUUUUUAAAAGUCAAAUUAUAUCUCCAUUUUGUUUUCAGAUUCAAACUGAUUUUACUGUUCUUGAUGUAUCUUAUAAUAUUUGUAUAUUUUGAAAUAAAUUGGACGUUUAGUCAUUUCUUCUGGAAAAGUU